UACGGGGGGGGCAAGCGUUGUUCGGAAUUACUGGGCGUAAAGGGCGCGUAGGCGGCCGAUCAAGUCGGAGGUGAAAUCCCUCGGCUCAACUGAGGAAUUGCCUCCGAUACUGUUCGGCUUGAGUCCUGGAGAGGGUAGUGGAAUUCCCAGUGUAGCGGUGAAAUGCGUAGAGACUGGGAAGAACACCAGUGGCGAAGGCGGCUACCUGGACAGGUACUGACGCUGAAGCGCGAAAGCUAGGGGAGCAAACAGGG
rnacentral:rRNA from 1 species